rnacentral:tmRNA from 1 species
GGGGGCGCAUUUGGUUUCGACGUGGGUCACGAACCCUGGGGUGCAUGUCGAGGGGGUAGCUUUCCUCGUUAAUCCAGCUGCA